rnacentral:misc_RNA from 1 species
AACCAUAGAAACCUGCGGAGUACCUGCGGAGGGAUCAUUAUAGUAUAUGGAAUCUCCAUUCUAUAAACCCACUCUGCGUAUCUUGUAACUGUUGCUUCCAUGGGACUUGGUUCCGCCACGCCGGCUUCACGGCUGGUGAGCGCCCAUGGAAGGAGAAACAAAACUCUUCUUUGAAAUGUAGUCAGUCUGAACAAGUUUUUAUAAACGUUAAAACUUUUAACAAUGGAUCUCAGAUCGGAA